AUUGAACGCUGGCGGCAGGCCUAACACAUGCAAGUCGAGCGGAGCGGCGGACGGGUGAGUAAUGCCUAGGCAUCUGCCUGGUAGUGGGGGAUAACGUACGGAAACGGGCGAUAAUACCGCAUACUAUCUGAUGAGACUUGGUCGGAUUAGCGAGUUGGUGGGGUAAAGGCAUACCAAGGCGACGAUCCGGAACUGGUCUGAGAGGGUGAUCAGUCACACUGGAACUGAGACACGGUCCAGACUCCUACGGGAGGCAGCAGUGGGGAAUAUUGCGCAAUGGGCGAAAGCCUGAUCCAGCCAUGCCGCGUGUGUGAAGAAGUUCUUCGGAUUGUAAAGCACUUUAAGUUGGGAAGCGUUACCAACAGAAUAAGCACCGGCUAACUUCGUGCCAGCCGCCGCGGUAAUUC
rnacentral:rRNA from 1 species